GCUGCAUGAAAAUCAUCCAAAGGUUCCUGGAAACACACACUCCUGGUCUUGUGUCCAGAGAGCUUGACCAGUUUCCAGUGAGCUUGGAGCGUUCUACUGAGGUUAUCAGUCAGCACACACUACAGAACAGAAUGGCGGAUGCACAACUCCUCUGUCAGUUAAGGAGCAGAAGAAACCACAAUGAGAGCAAUUUCCUAGGAUUCCAAUAGAGAACCAAGAGUCUUCAUAGCUGCCAUGCUAACCCAGGAAAGGCCCCCUAUCAAGUAGCACAUCACUCAGUACAGGAGAAAUAUUUGGUCUGCAAGCUCCCUGACAUUCUAAAGAUGAUGGGUUCCUGAAAACACACCUUCAGCUCAAACUUUCCUGAGAGACGAGAGCUGACUUCAGCUUGUUCUCAGAGUUAUCCUGGUUUGCACUGCUUUUCCUUAUUUGGGAGAUCUGGGGUUUUUU